CAGUCGCCACGGUAAUACAGAGGGUGCGAGCGUUAAUCGGAUUUACUGGGCGUAAAGCGUGCGUAGGCGGCUAAUUGAGUCGGAUGUGAAAUCCCCGAGCUUAACUUGGGAAUUGCAUUCGAUACUGGUCAGCUAGAGUGUGGGAGAGGAUGGUAGAAUUCCAGGUGUAGCGGUGAAAUGCGUAGAGAUCUGGAGGAAUACCGAUGGCGAAGGCAGCCAUCUGGCCUAACACUGACGCUGAGGUACGAAAGCAUGGGGAGCAAACAGGAUUAGAUACCCCGGUAGUCCCUGUCUCUUAUAC
rnacentral:rRNA from 1 species